UAUGAAAUUCUGAGUUGAAAAUUCUUUUCUUUAAGAAUGUUGAAUAUUGGCCCCCACUGUCUUCUGGCUUGUAGAGUUUCUGCCGAGAGAUCUGCUGUUAGACUGAUGGGCUUCCCUUUGUGGGUAACCCGACCUUUCUCUCUGGCUGCCCUUAAGAUUUUUUCCUUCAUUUCAACUUUGGUGAAUCUGACAAUUAUGUGUCUUGCAGUUGCUCUUCUCAAGGAGUAUCUUUGUGGCAUUCUCUGUGUUUCCUGAAUUUGAAUGUUGGCCUGCCUUGCUAGGUUGGAGAAGUUCUCCUGGAUGAUAUGCUGCAGAGUGUUUUCCAACUUGGUUCCAUUCUCCCCGUCACUUUCAGGUACACCAAUCAGAUUUAGAUUUGGUCUUUUCACAUAAUCCCAUAUUUCUUGGAGGCUUUGUUCAUUUCUUUUUACUCUUUUUUCUCUACACUUCUCUUCUUCAUUUCAUUCGUUCAAUCUUCAGUUGCUGAUAAUCUUUCUUCCAGUUGAUCGAGUCGGUUACUGAAGCUUGUGCAUUUGUCAUGUAGUUCUCGUGUCAUGGUUUUCAUCUCUAUCCAUUCUUUUAAGGUCUUCUGUGCAUUGAUUAUUCUAGUUAUCCAUUCAUCCAUUCCUUUUUCAAGGUUUUUAGUUUCUUUGUGCUGGUUAUGUAGUUCCUCCUUGAGCUCUGAGAAGUUUGAUCGACUGAAGCCUUCUUCUCUCAACUCAUCAAAGUCAUUCUCCAUCCAGCUUUGUUCCAUUGCUGGCGAUGAGCUGUGUUCCUUUGGAGGGGGAGAUGUGCUCUGAUUUUUGAAUUUCCAGCUUUUCUGCAUUACUUUUUCCCCAUCUUUGUGGUUUUAUCUGCCUUUGGUCUUUGAUGAUGGUGACAUGGGGUUUUGGUGUGGGUGUCCUUUCUGUUUCUUAGUUUUCCUUCUAACAGUCAGGACCCUCAGCUGCAGGUCUGUUGGAGUUUGCUUGAGGUCCACUCCAGACCCUGUUUGCCUGGGUAUCAGCAGCGGAGGCUGCAGAAGAUAGACUAUUGCUGAACAGUGAGUGUUGCUGUCUGAUUUUUGCUCUGGAAGCUUCGUCUCACAGGUGUACCUAGCCAUGUGAGGUGUGAGAUGUCAGUCUGCACCUAUGGGCUCCACCCAAUUUGAGCUUCCUGGUGGCUUUGUUUAUCUACUUAAACCUCAGCAAUGGUGGGUGCCCCUCCCCCAGCCUGGCUGCCACCUUGCAGUUAGAUCUCAGACUGCUGUGCUAGCAAUGAAGGGAGGCUCCAUGGGCGUGGGACCCUCUGGGCCAAGUGUGGCAUAUAAUCUCCUUGUGUGUCGUUUGCUAAGACCCUUGGUAAAGCGCAGUAUUAGGGUGGGAGUUACCCGAUUUUCCAGGUGUUGUGUGUCUCAAUUUCCUUUGGCUAGGAAAAGGAAUUCCCUUCCCCCUUGCACUUUCCAGGUGAGGCGAUGCCUCGCGCUGCUUCAGUUCUCGCUGGUUGGGCUGCACCCUUGAACCAGCACCGACUGUCUGACACGCCCCAGUGAGAUGAACCCGGUACCUCAGUUGAAAAGGCAGAAAUCACCUGUCUUCUGUGUCAUUCAUGCUGGGAGCUGGAGGCUGGAGCUAUUCCUAUUCGGCCAUCUUGGGCACACCCCAGAUUUUCAGGAUCUUGAUAACCUGUUUCAUAACCUUAGGUAGUUGUCAGCUAGGUAGCCUUAAAUUUGCAUAUUAAAGGAAACAACUCAGGUGAAAAUCAAAUAGCAAAAUUUGCAUCAUAAGAUACAGAGAGAAAAAGUCUAGAGGGAGAUUAAAGAUGAAUGCCAAAUCAAACGUAAAAUUAUAAAAAUCUAUCAUAGGAUUGCAUAAGGAGACCAAUUUUAUUUAGAGAUUACCUAUCUAUCUUUUAACCAGAUCUCUGAACCCAGGGCAGAGCCCACACUGAAUCCUGGGUUUCCAAAAAGGGAGAAUUUUUGUGAGGCUAGACCAUGUGAUGAUUUUAUGGUACACUUUAAAAAAUUUUUUUACACAAAGAUAUUUCUAAGUGUUUACACUUUUCUUUAAAAACUGAAGCUAAGCCUCUGUUGCAAUAACUAUUUUAGUCAAUAAAUCAGGUAACAAUACAAAAGCAAGCAGUUUAAAAGCUGAGAUGAACUUGUCUGUUUAUACUCUUGAAGUUCCAUAAGGAGAAACAGGUUUCUCCCUGAAAGGGAGUCUGAUGCCUUCUCCAUUUUCUUUAAGGAACCUCAGGCUAUUAUAAAGUAUUUUUGGUCCCUCAUGAAGCAGAGGGUGAAAGAGAAAGGAGAGACAGCAGAAGUAAAGGAAGAAAACAGAAUCCAGUCAACUGAGAAGAAAAAAUUUUUUUAAAAAGGGUGCUGGGCAUGGUGGCUCAUACCUAUAAUUCCAGCACUUUGAGAGGCCAAGGCAGGUGGAUCAACUGAGGUCAGGAGUUCAAGACCAGCCUGGUUAACAUGGUGAAACCCCAUCUGUACUAAAAAUACAAAAAUUAGCUGGGCAUGGUGGUGUGUGCCUGUAAUCCCAGCUACUUGGGAGACUGAAGCAGGAGAAUCCUUUGAACCCAGGAGGCUGAGGUUGCAGUGAGCCACGAUCACACCACUGUACUCCAGCCUGGACAACAGAGCAAGACUCUGUCUCAAAAAAAAAACAAAAAAAA
rnacentral:lncRNA from 1 species